rnacentral:rRNA from 1 species
ACGGGAGGCAGCAGUGGGGAAUAUUGCACAAUGGGGGAAACCCUGAUGCAGCAACGCCGCGUGACGGAUGAAGGCCCUUGGGUCGUAAACUUCUGUUCUAAGGGAAGGUAAUGACGGUACCUUAGGAGCAAGUACCAGCUAACUACGUGCCAGCAGCCGCGGUAAUACGUAGGGGGCAAGCGUUAUCCGGAAUUAUUGGGCGUAAAGAGUGCGUAGGUGGUUUCCUAAGCAUGGGGUUUAAGUCAAUGGCUUACCCAUUGUUCGCCCCAUUAACUUGGUUACUUGAGUGCUGGAGAGGAAAGCGGAAUUCCUAGUGUAGCGGUGAAAUGCGUAGAUAUUAGGAGGAACACCAGUGGCGAAGGCGGCUUUCUGGACAGUUACUGACACUGAGGCACGAAAGUGUGGGGAGCAAACAGGAUUAGAUACCCUGGUA